GACGAACGCUGGCGGCGUGCUUAACAUAUGCAAGUCGAGCGAUGAAGUUCCUUCGGGAAUGGAUUAGCGGCGGACGGGUGAGUAACACGUGGGUAACCUGCCUCAUAGAGGGGAAUAGCCUUUCGAAAGGAAGAUUAAUACCGCAUAAGAUUGUAGUUUCGCAUGAAACAGCAAUUAAAGGAGUAAUCCGCUAUGAGAUGGACCCGCGUCGCAUUAGCUAGUUGGUGAGGUAACGGCUCACCUAGGCGACGAUGCGUAGCCGACCUGAGAGGGUGAUCGGCCACAUUGGGACUGAGACACGGCCCAGACUCCUACGGGAGGCAGCAGUGGGGAAUAUUGCACAAUGGGGGAAACCCUAAUGCAGCAACGCCGCGUGAGUGAUGACGGUCUUCGGAUUGUAAAGCUCUGUCUUCAGGGACGAUAAUGACGGUACCUGAGGAGGAAGCCACGGCUAACUACGUGCCAGCAGCCGCAGUAA
rnacentral:rRNA from 1 species